rnacentral:rRNA from 1 species
GACGAACGCUGGCGGCGUGCCUAACACAUGCAAGUCGAACGGAAAGGCCCUGCCUUUGUGGGGUGCUCGAGUGGCGAACGGGUGAGUAACACGUGAGUAACCUGUCCCUGACUUUGGGAUAACUUCAGGAAACUGGGGCUAAUACCGGAUAGGAGCUCCUGCUGCAUGGUGGGGGUUGGAAAGUUUCGGCGGUUGGGGAUGGACUCGCGGCUUAUCAGCUUGUUGGUGGGGUAGUGGCUUACCAAGGCUUUGACGGGUAGCCGGCCUGAGAGGGUGACCGGCCACAUUGGGACUGGGAUGCGGCCCAGACUCCUACGGGAGGCAACGGUGGGGAGUAUUGCACAAUGGGCGGAAGCCUGAUGCAGCAACGCCGCGUGCGGGAUGACGGCCUUCGGGUUGUAAACCGCUUUCGCCUGUGACGAAGCGUGAGUGACGGUAAUGGGUGAAGAAGCACCGGCUAACUACGUG